UUAUUUCUAGAUUUUUAGAUGGAUUCGUCCUGAUCUGAUCUGAGAUGUUACCUUGUGGUAUUGUGUUCUUCCCUUUUUAUCCCAGGAUGUGAUUCCGUCCUCCCCUUCUCUUUCUUUCUAGAUUUGUAGAUGGAUUCAUCUUGAUCUGGGUGCUACUUUUGUUCCCUUUUUAUCCCAAGAUGAUAUUCCUUUUUGCUAAGAUGAGUUGGCAGCACUUUCAUGGACCUGACAGGUUUUACUUUUAAGGUUUGGAUUUGGGUUGCGGGAGAUUCCUACACUGGUGGUGACAAUGGCCAUCAUUGGUGCAGGAGGAUUCAGUGGUUGUCCCUGCUGUUGGUGAAUCUUCCUCUAUUUUAUUAUUUUGCCACGAAUGCUAAUGUAAUAAGAAUUGCAUUACUUAUACUAGAAAAUUGUGGAUAGAAAAUGCUUUGCAGAAAUCUGUGGUUUGGUUUAUGCAUGUGAGGAUGCUAUAAACCUAAUUCCAUCC